rnacentral:rRNA from 1 species
GACGAACGCUGGCGGCGUGCCUAACACAUGCAAGUCGAACGGAGAUACGAUUUCGGUUGUAUCUUAGUGGCGAACGAGUGAGUAACGCGUGAGCAACCUGACUCUUAGAGGGGGAUAACACCCGGAAACGAGUGCUAAUACCGCAUAAGACCACGACAUGGCAUCAUGACGAGGUCAAAGGAGCAAUCCGCUGAGAGAGGGGCUCGCGUCCCAUUAGAUAGAUGGCGGGGUAACGGCCCACCAUGUCAACGAUGGGUAGCCGAGCUGAGAGGCUGAGCGGCCACACUGGAACUGAGACACGGUCCGGACUCCUACGGGAGGCAGCAGUGGGGAAUAUUGGGCAAUGGGCGCAAGCCUGACCCAGCAACGCCGCGUGAGGGAAGAGGGCUUUCGGGUUGUAACCUCUGUCCUUGGUGACGAAACAAAUGACGGUAGCCAAGGAGGAGGCCCCGGCUAACUACGUGCCAGCCGCCGCCGUAA